AGUCCAGACUCCUACGGGAGGCAGCAGUUAGGAAUAUUCGUCAAUGGGGGAAACCCUGAACGAGCAAUGCCGCGUGAGUGAUGACGGUCUUUAUGAUUGUAAAACUCUGUUGUUAGGGAAGGAACCUUACUAUAGGAAAUGAUAGUAAGCUGACGGUACCUAACCAGAAAGCCCCGGCUAACUCCGUGCCAGCAGCCGCGGUAAUACGGAGGAUGCGAGCGUUAUCCGGAUUUAUUGGGUUUAAAGGGUGCGUAGGCGGAUUUUUAAGUCAGCGGUAAAAUGUCCGGGCUCAACCCGGGCCGGCCGUUGAAACUGGGGAUCUUGAGUGGGCGAGAAGUAUGCGGAAUGCGUGGUGUAGCGGUGAAAUGCAUAGAUAUCACGCAGAACUCCGAUUGCGAAGGCAGCAUACCGGCGCCCAACUGACGCUCAGGCACGAAAGCGUGGGUAUCGAACAGGAUUAGAUACCCGCGUA
rnacentral:rRNA from 1 species